rnacentral:piRNA from 1 species
UCCAUAGUCCCCUUGGACCUGGUUGACCUU